rnacentral:misc_RNA from 1 species
GAUGAAGAACGUAGCGAAAUGCGAUAAGUAGUGUGAAUUGCAGAAUUCCGUGAAUCAUCGAAUCUUUGAACGCACAUUGCGCCUUCUGGUAUUCCGGAAGGCAUGCCUGUUCGAGAGUCAUUAACAACCGUUUCGAUCCCUUUCUUUCAGAAAUUACAAAGAGGAAAAGGGUUUGGUUAUGGUGGAGGAGGGAAAGGGAGCGUUUAGCCUGUAAAAAAAGAGGCUGUGUUCCGCCUCCCCCCCAAAAUUGUACAGGCGGUCGUGUGCGCCCACGCAUCGAGGUGUUGUAAAAGCUGCCACGGCACUUUUCACCUGUGCAGUGCGAGAUUGGCCAGCCUGUUUAAAAACCCCUCCAAACAAUCAAAGGUUGACCUCGGAUCAGGUAGGGAUACCCGCUGAACUUAAGCAUAUCAAUAAGCGGAGGA